UACGAAGGGGGCUAGCGUUGCUCGGAAUCACUGGGCGUAAAGCGCACGUAGGCGGCUUCUUAAGUCAGGGGUGAAAGCCUGGAGCUCAACUCCAGAACUGCCUUUGAUACUGAGAAGCUUGAGUCCGGGAGAGGUGAGUGGAACUGCGAGUGUAGAGGUGAAAUUCGUAGAUAUUCGCAAGAACACCAGUGGCGAAGGCGGCUCACUGGCCCGGUACUGACGCUGAGGUGCGAAAGCGUGGGGAGCAAACAGG
rnacentral:rRNA from 1 species